rnacentral:rRNA from 1 species
UACAGAGGUCUCGAGCGUUUGUUCGGAUUCAUUGGGCGUAAAGGGUGCGUAGGUGGCACUGUAAGUCGGGUGUGAAAUCCUGAGGCUUAACCUCGGAACUGCAUUCGAUACUGCGGUGCUUUGAGGACUGGAGAGGAGACUGGAAUUCAUGGUGUAGCAGUGAAAUGCGUAGAGAUCAUGAGGAAGACCAGUGGCGAAGGCGGGUCUCUGGACAGUUCCUGACACUGAGGCACGAAGGCCAGGGGGAGCAAACGGGG